GACAGAGGCCCCAAGCGUUAGGCGGAAUCACUGGGCUUAAAGCGUGUGUAGGCGGACUUCUAAGUACCUUGUGAAAUCCCACGGCUUAACCGUGGAACUGCUUGGUAUACUGGUUGUCUUGGGCCAUCUAGGGGCUACUGGAACAAACGGUGGAGCGGUAAAAUGCGUAGAUAUCGUUUGGAACGCCAAUGGUGAAAACAAGUAGCUGGGGAUGUGCCGACGCUGAGACACGAAAGCCAGGGGAGCGAACGGG
rnacentral:rRNA from 1 species